rnacentral:rRNA from 1 species
UACGGAGGGGACUAGCGUUGUUCGGAAUUACUGGGCGUAAAGCGCGCGUAGGCGGAUUUGCAAGUUGGGGGUGAAAGCCCGAGGCUCAACCUCGGAACUGCCCUCGAUACUGUAAAUCUCGAGUCCGAGAGAGGUGAGUGGAAUUCCUAGUGUAGAGGUGAAAUUCGUAGAUAUUAGGAAGAACACCAGUGGCGAAGGCGGCUCACUGGCUCGGUACUGACGCUGAGGCGCGAAAGCGUGGGGAGCAAACAGG